UGGAUUGAUUAGGGCGAAAAUGCAGUUUGUCUGUGACCUUCAAACAUUUUGUGAGCCGUCUGUUUUCACGCGACUGGGAGCAAAUGGCGCACAAGAGGUUUUGGAUGUUACAGCCAAAGCACAUUUUCGCCCUAAUCAAUUCC
rnacentral:miRNA from 1 species